rnacentral:rRNA from 1 species
UGGGGAAUUUUGCACAAUGGGCGCAAGCCUGAUGCAGCCAUGCCGCGUGUAUGAAGAAGGCCUUCGGGUUGUAAAGUACUUUCAGUCGGGAGGAAGGUGGUAAGGUUAAUAACCUUAUCAAUUGACGUUACCGACAGAAGAAGCACCGGCUAACUCCGUGCCAGCAGCCGCGGUAAUACGGAGGGUGCAAGCGUUAAUCGGAAUUAUUGGGCGUAAAGCGCACGCAGGCGGUUGAUUGAGUCUGAUGUGAAAUCCCCGGGGUUAACCCGGGAAUUGCAUCUGAUACUGGUCAGCUAGAGUUUUGUAGGGGGGGGUAGAAUUCCAUGUGUAGCGAGGAAAUGCGUAGAAGUGUGGAGGAAUACCGGUGGCGAAGGCGGACCCCUGGACAAAGACUGACGCUCAGGUGCGAAAGGGUGGGGGGCAAAACGG